CACACAGUCUGCGUGGCUCCACACGGUUUGACGACACCCUCGCCGGGCGGGCACUGCUUGCAGCACUUUCCAUCCGUGGUGUACUGACCCGAUAAACACUCCUCCUUCUUGGCUGUGGCCACCACCUGUCAAUCAUCAUCAGAGGCAUCAUCAGUCCCCGCAACAAUCUGGCAAAGAGAGAUGCAAAAUGUGUCCAUCAGAGAGGACAGACCAUGAACAAAAGGGUGGCUGAGCAGAUCAAUAAAGUACAGACGAUGGCGUCCCACAGGAAGACGCAGGGGUUGCCGCCAUCUGAUGCUGCAGACCAAUAAUGAAGAAGCUGCCAAUGUGCUACAGAUGCUGCAGACCAAUAAUGAAGAAGCUGCAUAAUGGCCAAUCUCUAAAAAAAAGACCCCUGCUUGAACUUCUCACCUUAGAACGACGAUGCCGGGUUUUCACUUGAUGAAAAUGGCCAAUAUA